rnacentral:lncRNA from 1 species
CUGGAGAUUCCCACCCUCUGCUGCAUUGGAAGAACUAAUUCUCAUGCUACAGAGAAGCUCCUGUGGAAGAAUGGUGGCAGCCUCCACCAUCUGAGAGAAAGCCCUGACAGCUAGAAAUUGAGGACCUCAGUCUUCCAUCAAUGAGAAACUUGAUUAUCCCAUCCAGCAGUAAGCUUUGAAAUGAUGCCAUCUCACAUGGGAAAUCCCAGCCCUAGGCAACACCUGUGCCCUGAUCCAUGGAAGCUGAAAC